rnacentral:rRNA from 1 species
GAUGAACGCUGGCGGCGUGCCUAAUACAUGCAAGUCGAGCGAACAGACGAGGAGCUUGCUCCUCUGACGUUAGCGGCGGACGGGUGAGUAACACGUGGAUAACCUACCUAUAAGACUGGGAUAACUUCGGGAAACCGGAGCUAAUACCGGAUAAUAUAUUGAACCGCAUGGUUCAAUAGUGAAAGACGGUUUUGCUGUCACUUAUAGAUGGAUCCGCGCCGCAUUAGCUAGUUGGUAAGGUAACGGCUUACCAAGGCAACGAUGCGUAGCCGACCUGAGAGGGUGAUCGGCCACACUGGAACUGAGACACGGUCCAGACUCCUACGGGAGGCAGCAGUAGGGAAUCUUAGGCAAUGGGCGAAAGCCUGACGGAGCAACGCCGCGUGAGUGAUGAAGGUCUUCGGAUCGUAAAACUCUGUUAUUAGGGAAGAACAAAUGUGUAAGUAACUAUGCACGUCUUGACGGUACCUAAUCAGAAAGCAACGGCUAACUACGUG